GCGUAAGCGCGCGCAGGCGGUUUCUUAAGUCUGAUGUGAAAGCCCACGGCUCAACCGGGGAGGGGCAUUGGAAACUGGGGAACUUGAGUGCGGAAGAGAGAGGCGGAAUUCCACUGUGUAGCGGUGAAAUGCGUAGAGAUGUGGAGGAACACCAGUGGCGAAGGCGGCUUUUUGGUCUGUAACUGACGCUGAGGCGCGAAAGCGUGGGGAGCAAACAGGAUUAGAUACCCUGGUAGUCCACGCCGUAAACGAUGACUGCUAAGUGUUAGAAGGCUUCCGCCCUUUAGUGCUGCAGCUAACGCAUUAAGCUCUCCGCCUGGGGAGUACGGUCGCAAGACUGAAACUCAAUGGAAUUGACGGGGGCCCGCACAAGCGGGGGAGCUUGUGGUUUAUUUCAAACCACCGCGAAAAACCUUACCA
rnacentral:rRNA from 2 species